GAUGAACGCUAGCGGCAGGCCUAAUACAUGCAAGUCGAGGGGCAGCACGGGUAGCAAUAUCUGGUGGCGACCGGCGCACGGGUGCGUAACACGUAUACAAUCUGCCUUUUACAGGGGAAUAGCCCGGAGAAAUUCGGAUUAAUGCCCCAUAAUAGAUUUACUGGCAUCAGUAGAUUUUGAAAGCUCCGGCGGUAAAAGAUGAGUAUGCGCAUGAUUAGCUAGUUGGUGGGGUAAUGAACUACCAAGGCAAGGAUCAUUAGGGGAUCUGAGAGGACUACCCCCCACACUGGUACUGAGGCACGGACCAGACUCCUACGGGAGGCAGCAGUAAGGAAUAUUGGUCAAUGGAGGCAACUCUGAACCAGCCAUGCCGCGUGCAGGAUGAAUGCCCUAUGGGUAGUAAACUGCUUUUAUACGGGAGAAAACCCGGGUACGUGUACCCGGUUGAUAGUACUGUAAGAAUAAGGAUCGGCUAACUUCGUGCCAGCAGCCGCCGUAAAAC
rnacentral:rRNA from 1 species